UACGAAGGGGGCGAGCGUUGUUCGGAUUUACUGGGCGUAAAGGGCGCGCAGGCGGCUAUUUUUGUCAGGCGUGAAAGCCCCGGGCUUAACCUGGGAACAGCGCUUGAGACGGGAUGGCUAGAGAUCGGGAGAGGAGAGUGGAAUUCCCAGUGUAGAGGUGAAAUUCGUAGAUAUUGGGAAGAACACCGGUGGCGAAGGCGACUCGCUGGACAAGUAUUGACGCUGAGGUGCGAAAGCGUGGGGAGCAAACAGG
rnacentral:rRNA from 1 species